AGAUGCCGGCUGUGAGCAGGAGGAGAGUGAACUCUGCUCCAUUCGUGCAGUUGCGAAUGAGCCCCAGCAUCGCCAGCAGGGACCAGCAGCCGCGGUUCCACACCUGCCUGGGGCCCAAGAAGCCACCUGGCAUAAGCACGGGGAUGCCACUUGUGAGUGUGCAGUGAGUGCAGAUGUGGAGAAUGGAUUCUGCACCAGUGAUGGGAGUGUGAGAGAGCCCCUGGCUCCCCAGGGCAUAUCAGGAACCAAGAAUGAACACAAAAGGAACCGCAGAAGAUUCCUGGGUGAAUGGAUCAGGGGCCAUCCCGUGGGCACGGCAGUGCUGAUUCUGCUGCUCCUGGUGCUGGUGCUGGCUUUGGGGGUGGCCUUGGCUGUGCUGGCAGCGCCACAGGUUCCAGUCACACCUGCGACUCCUCUGUCCCUUCUGGGCUGUCCCCGUGGCUGGGUUGGCUACAAUGGGGUCUGCUACUACUUCUCAAGGGAUUACAGCACCUGGGAGCAGGGUCAGGAACGGUGCUCCGAGCUCGGGGCCUCCCUUGCCAU